UCGAUGGUAUCUAAUAGAAUAAUGCCCAUGGUGUUGCCACUAUAAAGCUUUCGCCGCUUCCAGAUUUAUUACCAAAUCAUGUUAACUAAUUUUUCAGUAAUAUGUUUUAUAUAACAUUUUCACGAAGUAAAUUUUUAAGUAUAUUAUUUUACUCAAUAGCUACGCACAUUUUCCUCAAAGCUGUAGACUUAUAUAUGUUCCCAUUCACCAUUAACACGAACCGGUAUGACUUCGAUUGAUUACUUCUGCUUCGGAACGCUUCUGUGAGCCUAAACCGAAGAAGUACUGGACAGGUAGUGUAGUCAAUGCUUGAUAUGUGACAGUACAUGUCAGUAUGCUAUACCAGUACUGCUGGUUUAAGAUGUGUAAACUUUAAAAAAAAAAGAAAAAAGAAAAAAAAGAAAAAGAAAACAAAUACCCAGAAGUUCUGGAACCUCUCUUUUUACAGCUCAAGUGACAUCAUCAAAUCAGCACUUUCUGUACCAUCAUCCACCUACUGCAGCUGAUGGUGGCAUGCAUGGACAAACUUGAAGAGAGCAAGGAAUGUGGCCACAGACCAGAAACUUGAGGCCUGGCAGAGUUACGUACAACAUUUGGAGCAACAUUUUCUCACACAUCAUUUAUCAGACAUUGGAUGUGUGGCAGCAUGGUGAUUAUAUGUCACCUCUGACUGACAAAACAAACAUCAUUGCCCUGUGCAGUAGAGUGAACAAUAAUAUCUGUGACACUUUAGUAUGAGUCGAACCUCUGAUGAGUGUAGACCACAGUGUAUCUGACAAGUGUAGACCACAGUGUAAUUCUGUUUAGCAAAUAAAGUAGGGAUUUGUCUACCGCA